UACAGAGGUCUCGAGCGUUAGGCGGAAUCACUGGGCUUAAAGCGUGUGUAGGCGGAUCGUUAAGUACCUUGUGAAAUCCCACGGCUUAACCGUGGAACUGCUUGGUAUACUGGCGGUCUUGAGCCAGCUAGGGGCUACCGGAACAAAAUGGUGGAGCGGUGAAAUGCGUAGAUAUCAUUUGGAACGCCAAUGGGUGAAAACAGGUAGCUGGGGCUG
rnacentral:rRNA from 1 species